rnacentral:rRNA from 1 species
ACCAUGCAGUCGACGAUAUAGUGGCAGACGGGUGAGUAACGCGUGGAAACGUGCCUUUCACUACGGAAUAGCUUUUGGAAACGAAAGGUAAUACCGUAUACGCCCUCCGGGGGAAAGAUUUAUCGGUGAAAGAUCGGUCCGCGUUAGAUUAGCUAGUUGGUGAGGUAACGGCUCACCAAGGCUACGAUCUAUAGCUGGUCUGAGAGGAUGAUCAGCCACACUGGAACUGAGACACGGUCCAGACUCCUACGGGAGGCAGCAGUGGGGAAUAUUGCACAAUGGGCGCAAGCCUGAUGCAGCCAUGCCGCGUGAAUGAUGAAGGCCUUAGGGUUGUAAAAUUCUUUCGCCAGGAGUACCUGGUAAAGAAGCCCCGGCUAACUUCGUGCCAGCAGCCGCGGUAAUACGAAGGGGGCUAGCGUUGUUCGGAAUUACUGGGCGUAAAGCGCACGUAGGCGGACUUUUAAGUCAGAUGUGAAAUCCCGAGGCUCAACCUCGGAACUGCAUUUGAAACUGGGAGUCUAGAGAUCAGGAGAGGUUAGCGGAAUACCGAGUGUAGAGGUGAAAUUCGUAGAUAUUCGGUGGAACACCAGUGGCGAAGGCGGCUAACUGGACUGAUACUGACGCUGAGGUGCGAAAGUGUGGGGAGCAAACAGGAUUAGAUACCCUGGUAGUCCACACCGUAAACGAUGAGUGCUAGUUGUCUGCAGGCAUGCCUGUAGGUGACGCAGCUAACGCAUUAAGCACUCCGCCUGGGGAGUACGGCCGCAAGGUUAAAACUCAAAGAAAUUGACGGGGGCCCGCACAAGCGGUGG